rnacentral:tRNA from 1 species
UCCUCGGUGGCUCAGAUGGAUAGAGCGCCUGCCAUGUAAGCAGGAGAUCCCCGGGUUCGAGUCCCGGUCGGGGCA